ensembl:lncRNA
GACAGUGGGGCUGAAAACAUUCGCCAAAUUGUACAUUAGCACCAGGGCUGCUGCUAUACAAACUCACCGCACAACUAAAUAAAGAUCCGCCAGACUGUUUUUUUUCUCUUGAUGUUGGCCACAAGCUGAAGAAAGAGAGAGGGGGGGGGGAUAUAUCAGGUGAUCUACAUGAAAUAAUCUUGGCUUUAACCGCGUUGUGUCUCACCGCUUUCUCACCCCCCAGUGGGACUCCAGGUGCUUAACCUCCCUCCUGCCAGUUCUGCAUGGUCAUGACCUGUCAUCACGCCCCUUCCACAUCCCACCUCGUCCUAUUGGUCCUGCUCCUUGUCACUCCGCCCCUGGCUGGGACCGCCCCUGCGUGGGUCGAGGGAGGGGCAGAAGGGGGCACCCGGACAGACCUGAGAGAGGACAACCUCGGCCCCUUUCUCUCGCCCCCGCCUCUGACCCUCUCCGGCCCUGACAACGGUUCGUUAGACCAGGGCCCGGGUCAAGACGACCAAUCAGAUAAAGGGAUGGACCCUAUGCAGGUGCUCGCUGUGCUGUUGGAGGCUCUGGACCACCCAGAGGAGGGAAAAAUCUAUGCCAGUAGAGACAGAGUUUUGGAAGAGGAUGAGAGUCAGAAACUGCCCUCCAUUGAAGGCGUCGCGGGUGGUGAGAAAAGAAGAACGGGGGAGACAGAGGGACAGAGGGGGGUGGAGGAAGAGGGGCGAGGGGCUGAUAAGGCAAUUGAACAGCUAAUUGUAGGCCAUUUGACAGCUGCUCAGGGGGAUGGCUCAAAAGAAAGGGAUGAGGAAGAUAAGACCACAAGGUCAGAGGAGAAUCAAGGGUGGUCUGGGAGGGAUGUGCGAGGCGAUAGCGUGAACAAGGAGGAGGAGGAGGAAGAUGAGGAGCAGAAGGACGGUCAUAGUUUGGAAAGUUUCCUAAAGAACGCCAGGCCAAGGACCCCCUCACUGGGAGAUGAUCCAUCUCUGCGGCGCAAAAUAAGAGGCUACUUCCAAAACAUUGACUUGGGUCUCCAAGAUAAUGAGAUCCUGCCUCCUCUGAAGGGCUACAAGGCAUACAACACUCAGCUCGCGCGAGCCGGAAAGAAGCUGCACUGGGAGGGGAACCAGGACCGCAACCGACCCUCCGACGGCGGCGGCGGCGCCGGCAACUUCAUGGAUGAGUUUGAGGAUGAAGGAGAGGAGCUGCAGGAGGAGAUUGAGGAAGAAGAGGAGAGCCUCUCCCACAUGCAAGAAGAGGCGAGAGCGCGAGCAGAGAAACAGGAGGUUCUUCGCCAGCAGGAGGAGGCGGAGCGUGCCAGAGAGGAGGAGCAGAGGCUGGCAGACAUCGCCUCCGACAUGCUGCUGCAGUACAUGGGGAGGAAGCAGCAGUCCUACAUGAAACCCCGGCAGAAAAGCAGCCUGGGCCCCGCCAGCAACACCGCCGAGGACAAGCGCUCCGAGGAGGUCGUCGCCGACGAAGACGACGUCGACCAGCAGAUGAUCGACAGGCUGAUCGAGAUCAGCAGCAAGCUGCACCUGCCCGCCGAUGACGUGAUCGAGAUUAUCAACGACGUGGAGGAGAAGAAGAAGAAAAGGAAAGAGCUGCAACAAUUACCGAUCAACAGCAACCCUGUUGCCCCGCGCUUCAGGCCUCUGGUACCUCCUCCUCUGGCUGCUCCACCCAUGUACCACUACACCGCCUCGAAAAACCCCAAGAAAGCCCCUUAUAGGUACAACAAGUCCAACAAGAAAUGGCACAAGGACAAGGUCUUGUCCUAUAAGAAGGACUAUUGGUAUAAGCCUCAGAAGCAGCUUGACUACUGGUAUAAACCCCAGAAACAGUUUUUAGCCUUCCCCUCCUACCCAUACUACCAGAAGCCAUAUCGAGCAUACUACCCGGUUUAUUUCCCAUAUCCCAAAGCACAAUAUUAUGGCAAACCCUCUCCCUCCAUAGAACAGCCGUUCGGCCCCCAGGAACUCGACUUCCAGCCCCCGAGGCGCAGGCACAGGGCCGGGGGUAAGAACCGCGGACAGGGCUGGAGGCAGCAGCCGGCGCCUCGCCUGCCGCUCAGCCCUUAUAUCUCUAACUACAUCCUUCCCCACCCACGGACCUACCAACCCCUGCCCCCGCCCAAACCAAUAACCCCACCCAGGAGAGGGAGGCGACCCCCGUACUACUAUCAACAAGUCACGCCGGGAGAUGACUACGAGGAAGAUGGUCUGGUGCCUCAGUUGGACAGUGAGGAGGAGCUGGAAAACUUUAUUGAGAGGAUCUACAUGAAACGUAGAAUGUAUUGAGAGACUUUUUGGACAUUCGUCGGAUCAGACGGGCUGGCCAGAGGUGGGAUAGAUAUUCAGUAGCUGGAGAAAAGCUAAAAGAGAAUGUGGGUCGGGGGUAAGAUUCAGGGGGCGACGGGUUUUGAGCCUGAAUGAAAUUGAAGGGUCUUGGUGUGAAAUGUUUGAUUUAUGUUGUUUUACUCAUUUUAUUUUUACUUUCUCGGUCAGGGGGAGGAUGAACGGUCCCAGUUGAAUCUCCCUGUAACCACAUUAGCCUCUUGCUCAGUUUACAUUUUGAAACAGAACAUACCAUGGUGUAUGUCCGCCUCCAUUCAGGGAUUGUGCUUAAAACCGUUAAAUGCACGUCUUUCUACUUGCAUCUUAAAAAAUGAACAAAAAAAAAUAAACAAAAAAAGAGAAAAAAUAAAACAGUAAAGGAAAAAUCCAGAUGGUUGUUUUCUCUGAAUAAACUGUGAACAUUAAAAAAAAGAAAUCUCAAAAGGAGGAAGGCCACUGUGUCCACAGUGAAGCCAUCUGUCUUGUAAAAGGAGAGUGUUGUUGUUGAUGUCACCUUUAGCAUUGUAACAUGUACAGUGUGAAAUAAAUAUGCCCGUGCAAUGUGUAAAUAACAGCAUGAUGAUUACUAGUUUUGCUAUAUGAAAAAAAAUAAAGGUAAUUAUUUUAUUAAAGUUCAGUUUUUUAAUGGCUUUUUGGCGAGUGCUAUGUUGUACUUGUAUACAAGCAAAUAUAAGAACACUUCAGUAGCAAAUCCCAAAACACAGAAGAGGAAGAGAAUCGCUUGAAGCUUAUUGACAGCGUCGCUCAUAGAAGUUAAGAAAAUUAAGAAAACCUAGAGGGUGUUGAAUAAAUUCCAAGACAGUCAAAAAUGAGAAUGGAGGGGAAAAAAAGAAUGGAAAUAAAAAAGGGGGAGGAAUAACCAAAGAAUGGAAAAAUUUAGAAGGGAGGGAGGGAAAUGGUAACUGCAGUGAUUGAUGAGUCACGUGAUUGGUGGAUGAGUCAUCCAUCUCCACACUUUACUGCGCAGGGCCGUGUGCGCGCACACACGUGCACGCGCAGACGCGCGCACGCACACCCUCUUUUUUUGAGCUGUAUAGUAAUUUAGCUUCUGGCAUUCAAGAUAAAGAUUGAGUCGUGUUCACCCUGCCUCCAGCCGGCCGAUCAGCCAAUGGAAAGGUGUUUGAUAGAUAGGUUUGAAAAAAGAAAUAAAAAA